rnacentral:rRNA from 1 species
AAUGAACGCUGGCGGCGCGCCUAAUACAUGCAAGUCGAGCGAGAAGACGUAGCAAUACGUUUGUAAAGCGGCGAACGGGUGAGGAAUACAUGGGUAACCUACCCUAGAGUGGGGAAUAACUAGCCGAAAGGUUAGCUAAUACCGCGUACGCUCCUUGGACUUCGGUUCAGGGAGGAAAGCGAUGCCGAGGGUAUCGCGCUCUUGGAUGGGCUCAUGUCCUAUCAGCUGUUGGUGAGGUAACGGCUCACCAAGGCUUCGACGGGUAGCUGGUCUGAGAGGACGAUCAGCCACACUGGCACUGCGACACGGGCCAGACUCCUACGGGAGGCAGCAGUAAGGAAUAUUGCGCAAUGGGCGAAAGCCUGACGCAGCGACGCCGCGUGGGGGAUGAAGGUCUUCGGAUUGUAAACUUCGGAAGAAUAGGAAAGAAUAAAAUGACGGUACUAUUUUAAGGUCCGGCUAACUACGUGCCAGCCGCCGCUGUAAC